rnacentral:tRNA from 1 species
CAGAAAAUAGUUUAGAAUAAAAUAUUAAUUUUGGAGAUUAAUGAGGGGAUUUUAAUAUUCUUUUUCUGA